CCUACGGGUGGCAGCAGUGAGGAAUAUUGGUCAAUGGACGAGAGUCUGAACCAGCCAAGUAGCGUGAAGGAUGACUGCCCUAUGGGUUGUAAACUUCUUUUAUAAAGGAAUAAAACGAGGCACGUUUGCCUUUUUGCAUGUACUUUAUGAAUAAGGAUCGGCCAACUCCGGGCAAGCAGCCGCGGUAAUACGGAGGAUCCGACCGGUAUCCGGAUUUAUUGGGUUUAAAGGGUGCGUAGGCGGAAUAUCAAGUCAGCGGUAAAAAUUCGGGGCUAAAGCCCGUCGUGCCGUGGAAACUGAUGUUCUUGAGUGGGCGAGAAGUAUGCGGAAUGCGUGGUGUAGCGGUGAAAUGCGUAGAUAUCACGCAGAACUCCGAUUGCGAAGGCAGCAUACCGGCGCCCAACUGACGCUGAAGCACGAAAGCGUGGGUAUCGAACAGGAUUAGAUACCCUUGUAGUC
rnacentral:rRNA from 1 species